rnacentral:rRNA from 1 species
CCUGGCGGCCUUAGCGCGGUGGUCCCACCUGACCCCAUGCCGAACUCAGAAGUGAAACGCCGUAGCGCCGAUGGUAGUGUGGGGUCUCCCCAUGCGAGAGUAGGGAACUGCCWGGC